UAUACUAAACCUCAUCUAAUAACCCACUCAGGAAACUACAUGAAAAAAGUCACUACUGACGUGUAAAGUCAUAUACAUACAUACAUAUAUACUAACCUCAUCUAACAACCCACUCAGGGAAACUACAUGAAAAAGUCACUAAUUGAUGUAGUAAGAUCAUAUACUACAUACAUAUAUACUAAACUCAUCUAACUAACCCAACUUCAGGAAAACUAAAUGAAAAAGUCCUACUGAUUGUAGUAAGUCAUAUACAUACAUACAUAUAUACCUAAACCUCAUCUAAUAACUCACUCAGAACUACACAAAACGAAAAAGUCACUACUGAUGUAGUUAAGUUAUAUACAUACAAGACAUAUAUACUAAACCUAUCUAAACAACCCAUUCAGGAAACUACAAACGAAAAGUCAACUACUGACGUAGUAAGUCAUAUGCCUACAUAAAAUAAUAUACUAAACUCAUAUAAACAACCCACUCACGGAAACUACAAUGAAAAGUCACUACUGACGUAGUAAGUCAUAUACAUACAUACAUAUAUACUAAACUCACUACCAACCCACUCAGGAAACUACAUGAAAAAGUCACCUACUGACGUAGUAAGUCAAUAUAACAUACAUACAUAUAUACUAAACCUCAUCUAACAACCCACUCAGGAAACUACAUGAAAAAGUCACUACUGAUGUAGUAAGUCAUAUUCAUACAUACAUACUGUAUUACAUAUAUGUUAGAAAUGAACUAAUUUUUUCGACGUAUUUGUUCAUGUGAAUUUUGCAAUAUAAAGAGUUGUUUCAAAUGUGGCGGUAUUGAAUCUUCUUUUAUAUACUGUGGAUUCAUUAUGAUUAUUGGGAUACCAAUUUUCAUAGAAUUUGUGGGUAUUUGUAAACCACAAGGAAAUGUGAUAUAAUUGCCAAUGAGACAACUAUCCAAUGCUGGCAGACAGUUAACAUGGGUUGAUUCAAUGGUUACUGCCUAAGAUUUAAGAUGAACACUUUAUUCAUUUAUCCAAAAAAGGAGAAAGAGGAUGGUUAAGACUUAUACAAAAGACUUUUUUAAGUAGUAAAGUACUCCUUAACUAGCACAAUAAGAAAAGGCACAAAUAUCAAUUAAAAAAAACUGUUAAAUUUUAGUGAAAAUUAAUUAGCAAUUUUAAUAGAAAUUUUAUUUAACAUCAUGAAUCAAAAUUUUUAAAAAAAGUAACGCUCAUGUAUUCUUGUUUAAAAGUAUGAACAAUUUGUAUCUUCCAGGCAGUAGAUCUGUUACUCCAGCAGUUAACAUCUUCACUGGAUGAAGACUUGGCCGAUGUUGAUGAGUAUGAAAGAGGCGUUGAUGAUGUGAAAAAUACGAUAAAAACUCCUAUCAUACCCAGGACUAUACAGAAAUAUUGAG
rnacentral:lncRNA from 1 species